rnacentral:rRNA from 1 species
UACGGGGGGGGGCAAGCGUUGUUCGGAAUUACUGGGCGUAAAGGGCGCGUAGGCGGUGCUCUAAGUUAGAUGUGAAAACUCUGGGCUCAACCCAGAGCCUGCAUCUAAAACUGGAGUGCUAGAGUUCUGGAGGGGGUAGCGGAAUUCCUGGUGUAGCGGUGAAAUGCGUAGAUAUCUGGAGGAACACCGGUGGCGAAGGCGGCAUCCUGGACCGGUAUUGACGCGUGAUGCGCGAAAGCCAGGGGAGCAAAGCGGG